rnacentral:ncRNA from 1 species
CCAAGGGGUGCCUUGAAAUCGUUAAUGAUUUUGAUGGCUGAGAUGCGAAGCGAACCCUUAGAACCUGAACCGGAUAGUACCGGCGUAGGAAUGGU